rnacentral:rRNA from 1 species
AACAAACGCUGGCGGCAUGCCUAAUACAUGCAAGUCGAACGAGAUCUUCGGAUCUAGUGGCGCACGGGUGCGUAACGCGUGGGAAUCUGCCCUUGGGUUCGGAAUAACUUCUGGAAACGGAAGCUAAUACCGGAUGAUGACGUAAGUCCCAAGAUUUAUCGCCCAAGGAUGAGCCCGCGUAGGAUUAGCUAGUUGGUGGGGUAAAGGCCCACCAAGGCGACGAUCCUUAGCUGGUCUGAGAGGAUGAUCAGCCACACUGGGACUGAGACACGGCCCAGACUCCUACGGGAGGCAGCAGUAGGGAAUAUUGGACAAUGGGCGAAAGCAUGAUCCAGCAAUGCCGCGUGAGUGAUGAAGGCCUUAGGGUUGUAAAGCUCUUUUACCCGGGAUGAUAAUGACAGUACCGGGAGAAUAAGCUGCGGCUAACUCCGUG